rnacentral:lncRNA from 10 species
UCUAAGCAAACAUUGGUUUAUGCUUGGCAAUUGAGAAUCAGUCCUGUCAAAACCGGGUGAGCUGCAAUUUUGGCAUUCCAUUGUCUGGAAGAGGAAGAAUAAUUACAACGUUCACAGUAUUCACAAGACAAGAACUAACCAGAGAUUCAAAAGCAGAAUAAUGUUGGGACCCCAGAGAAGUAUUCUUGGCUUUUCUCAGAAGGAAGAAACUGUGUGAUGUGAGGAAUAAUAUCCUCUACAGCAUCUAUAUGGCAUCGGAAGCUCUCAGAAGAAUAACUACUUGCUCUCAUCUUGAUCCAUAGGAAUUGACCAGCUGACCAGCUGGCUAAGUACCCAAAUGUGUGUGGUGAGGGUGAGACUUAAAAACAGAGCUCAACAUCUGAAAUCUAGAAAAAUUUGGUGCCAGUGUUCUUCAUACGAAGUUAGUGAUGCGCUGCCAGUAUUGCAACAGCAUCCUCCUGGGACACAUUUCUAAUGCUUCACAGCAGGAACUGUUUCUGGCAGCUUGGUGAACCAAGAAAGGCAAUAUUCUUCUGGGAACCUUGGCUGUUGAAAGCAUAAAGGAAGAAGAAUGCAGUUUUUGCCUUGGGGAGCUUACAUCUUAUCUGGUAUACCAGAUAAACACAAUGAAGGACAACACAACGGUAAACAAGGUAUUUCA